AGUCAAGCAAUCUCGGGCUUGGUUAGUACUUGGAUGGGUGACCGCUUGGGAAUACCAAGUGUGAUAAGCA
rnacentral:rRNA from 1 species